AUUGAACGCUGGCGGCAUGCCUUACACAUGCAAGUCGAACGGUAACAGGUCUUCGGAUGCUGACGAGUGGCGAACGGGUGAGUAAUACAUCGGAACAUGCCCGAUCGUGGGGGAUAACGGAGCGAAAGCUUUGCUAAUACCGCAUACGAUCUACGGAUGAAAGCAGGGGACCGCAAGGCCUUGCGCGGACGGAGCGGUCGAUGGCAGAUUAGGUAGUUGGUGGGAUAAAAGCUUACCAAGCCGACGAUCUGUAGCUGGUCUGAGAGGACGACCAGCCACACUGGGACUGAGACACGGCCCAGACUCCUACGGGAGGCAGCAGUGGGGAAUUUUGGACAAUGGGCGAAAGCCUGAUCCAGCCAUGCCGCGUGCAGGAUGAAGGCCUUCGGGUUGUAAACUGCUUUUGUACGGAACGAAAAGACUCUUUCUAAUAAAGAGGGUCCAUGACGGUACCGUAAGAAUAAGCACCGGCUAACUACGU
rnacentral:rRNA from 1 species